UGGGGGAUAUUGCACAAUGGGCGAAAGCCUGAUGCAGCGACGCCGCGUGGGGGAUGAAGGCUUUCGGGUUGUAAACCUCUUUCGCUAUCGAACAAGGCCCGCUUAGGGUGGGUUGAGGGUAGGUGGAGAAGAAGCGCCGGCUAACUACGUGCCAGCAGCCGCGGUAAUACGUAGGGCGCGAGCGUUUUCCGGAAUUAUUGGGCGUAAAGGGCUUGUAGGCGGCUUGUUGCGCCUGCUGUGAAAACGCGGGGCUUAACUUCGCGCGUGCAGUGGGUACGGGCAGGCUUGAGUGUGGUAGGGGUGACUGGAAUUCCAGGUGGAGCGGUGGAAUGCGCAGAUAUCUGGAGGAACACCGAUGGCGAAGGCAGGUCACUGGGCCAUUACUGACGCUGAGGAGCGAAAGCAUGGGUAGCGAACAGG
rnacentral:rRNA from 1 species